rnacentral:tRNA from 1 species
ACCCGUAUGGAUCAAUUGGACCGCGCACUGAAUUCACAAUCCAGAGGUUGCCGGUUCGAAUCCUGCGGCGGGUG